rnacentral:rRNA from 1 species
GUGCCAGCCGCCGCGGUAAUACGUAGGGGGCGAGCGUUAUCCGGAAUCACUGGGCGUAAAGGGUGCGUAGGCGGCCGAUCAAGCCAGGGGUGAAAGGCUACGGCUUAACCGUAGUGAGCCUUUGGAACUGAUUGGCUUGAGUGCAGGAGAGGAGAGUGGAAUUCCUAGUGUAGCGGUGAAAUGCGUAGAUAUUAGGAGGAACACCAGUGGCGAAGGCGACUCUCUGGACUGUAACUGACGCUGAGGCACGAAAGCGUGGGGAGCAAACAGGAUUAGAUACCCUGGUAGUCCACGCUGUAAACGAUGAGUGCUAGGUGUCGGGGGAUUAUCCUUCGGUGCCGGAGUUAACGCAAUAAGCACUCCGCCUGGGGAGUACGGUCGCAAGACUGAAACUCAAAGGAAUUGACGG